ensembl:lncRNA
AGCUUCCACCCAUCUAUUUACCAUAGCUUCCACCCAUUCUGCCAAUGCUUCUCUGAAACCCAGUAUUGGUACAGACAUUGCUCAGUCCUAACAGGGAUCGCAAGCUUCCACCAGGAAAGGCAAAAGGGAAGAUACACAUGUAUGGAGCUCCUACUGUAUACCUCACCUUGGGCUAAACAAUUCUCAUAUGUCAUCUCACAUAAGCCUUUCAGCAGUGCAUCCCCCUCUCCCCAUCAAGUCCUAGGAUUCACAGCAGAAUAGCUGCAGAGCUGGAGGCCAACCCAGCAGGAACACCACAUCCCAGGCUCUCUGCUCCCAAGGACAUCAGAUUCCAUUUUUGCAGGGGGAGGAGCUUCCCAGCAGCAGGAC